AAGGAUGUUAGCUUUCCCACCGGUUGUUCCCGUUUCUGUCCUUCUGCCUCGUUUCCCAGGUUAUUCAAGGGAAAACCCCACAGGAUUUAGAGCCCUGAGAUCCAGGGUUAGAUUCUGGAAGUUCUUCACAAAUGCUGUCACCUCCCUGAGCUCCAGUGUCCUCUUGGUUUCAAGGAUAAUGAUGCUAUUCUACCUCCAAGGUAAGCAGAAUAAUGGCCUUUCAAAGGUGUCCACAUCCUAAUCUCCAGGACCCAUGAGAAUAUUAUGUUAUUUCAUCAAGAAGAAGGAAAGUUGCAGAUGGAAUGAAUGGUCGACCUUAAAAUGGGGAGAUUAUCCUGGAUUUUCUAGAUGGGCUGAAUCACAAGAGUCCUUCAGAGAGGAAGUCAGAGGAGGUUACUACAAAAGGAAGCACAGAGAGAUGCAAUGCAGCUGGUUGUGAAGAUGGAAAAGGGGGCAUGAGGAAAGGAAUGUGACAGUCUCUGGAUGAUGGAAAAUGCAAGGAAAUGGAUUGAUUCUCCCCCAGAGCCUCCAGAAAGGAACACAGCUCUGCCAACACCUUGAUGUUAGCCCAGGGAGACCUGGGUUGAACUUCUAGCCCACAGAGCCCUAAGAUAAUAAAGUUGUGUUGUUUUAAGCCACUA